GCCGGGACUGUCCCCUAAGUACCGUCCCGGCUGCUCCCCAAGUGCUUCCCUGAACCGUGAGUGCGUCCCGGGGCCCCGAUGCCCCCCAGGGUCUCCACACUGCAGUGGCUGACAGCAGCGGCGGGAUAGGCCACCUGCCUGCCGGCAUCUUCAAGAAUCUGAGCCAACUGCACAGCUUGAACCUGUAGAGUGCAGGGCUGCACAGCCUUGGCCCUGAGGUAUUCUGCAACCUGACGCGACUGAAGGAGCUGCGCCUGGCCAAGAACGGGCUGCCUGCAUUGGGUGUUACUCUGGCCACGAAUUUGCUGCUUUAAAAUGUUUUACUUUCCACAAGUUGUCUGGGCUGUGUUACACAAGAGGUCAUUGUUUCACCUUUUAUUAAUACAGAGAUUAUGAUGAUGCUACUUAUUAAUCUCCCUUGCAGCACAUCUGCAAGGCAGGUACUUCGCUCUCCAGACUUUAACUUGUGCAUAAUUUACCCUUCCCUUGCUCAUAAUUUUCCUUUGCUGGGCUACUCCCAGUGAACAUCACCAAAUCCCACAAGACCAUUCCUGACUGCACCAAAAUAAAAUUAAACCGUGAAUGUUAUUUUUCUCAAGGAUUUUAAGGUUUAUAAAUCUCCUGUUCUGAAGUGAUACGAGGUGUGGCAGGAAAGACCUAAAGGGUUUAGAGAUAAAAGCAGCAUUUUUCAUAUGUUUUUUAAUGAAAAAUAAAAUAUUUUCACUCAGA